ACGGGAGGCAGCAGUGGGGAGUAUUGGACAAUGGGGGAAACCCUGAUCCAGCGACGCCGCGUGAGUGAAGAAGUAUUUCGGUAUGUAAAGCUCUAUCAGCAAGGAAGAAAAUGACGGUACUUGACUAAGAAGCUCCGGCUAAAUACGUGCCAGCAGCCGCGGUAAUACGUAUGGAGCAAGCGUUAUCCGGAUUUACUGGGUGUAAAGGGAGCGUAGACGGUUUGGCAAGUCUGAAGUGAAAUGCGGGGGCUCAACUCCCGAACUGCUUUGGAAACUGUCGAACUAGAGUGCAGGAGAGGUAAGUGGAAUUCCUAGUGUAGCGGUGAAAUGCGUAGAUAUUAGGAGGAACACCAGUGGCGAAGGCGGCUUACUGGACUGUAACUGACGUUGAGGCUCGAAAGCGUGGGGAGCGAACAGGAUUAGAUACCCUGGUA
rnacentral:rRNA from 1 species